UACGUAGGAGGCAAGCGUUAUCCGGAAUGACUGGGCGUAAAGGGUGCGUAGGUGGUUUGGCAAGUUAGUAGCGUAACUCCGGAGCUCAACUUCGGAACUACUACUAAAACUGUCGGACUUGAGUGCAGGAGGGGCAACUGGAAUUUCUAGUGUAGCGGUGGAAUGCGUAGAUAUUAGGAAGAACACCGGUGGCGAAGGCGAGUUGCUGGACUGUAACUGACACUGAGGCACGAAAGCGUGGGGAGCAAACAGG
rnacentral:rRNA from 1 species